AACAAUUUAACGGGCCGCGGGUACCCUAACCGUGCAAAGGUAGCAUAAUCAUUUGUCUACUAAUUAUAGACCUGUAUGAAAGGCAAAAUGAGAGUCCAACUGUCUCCUGCAAUCAAUCAAUAAAACUGAUCUCCCAGUCCAAAAGCUGGGAUAUGACUAUAAGACCAGAAGACCCUGUGAAGCUUAAACUAAACUAUUACCCACACUAAUAGCUACUUUAGGUUGGGGCGACCUUGGAAAAAAAAGAAACUUCCAAAAGUGACCUUCCAUCACCAACCAGGCCAACAAGCCACCACCGACCCAGACAACUGACUACUGAACCAAGUUACUCCAGGGAUAACAGCGCCAUCUUCUUCAAGAGCCCAUAUCAAAAAGAAGGUUUACGACCUCGAUGUUGGAUCAGGACACCCAAAUGGUGCAGCCGCUAUUAAAGGUUCGUUUGUUCAACGAUUAACAGUCCCACGUGAUCUGAGUUCAAAACCGGAG
rnacentral:rRNA from 1 species